AAUAGAUACCCGGGUAGUCCACGCCGUAAACGAUGUCGACUUGGAGGUUGUGCCCUUGAGGCGUGGCUUCCGGAGCUAACGCGUUAAGUCGACCGCCUGGGGAGUACGGCCGCAAGGUUAAAACUCAAAUGAAUUGACGGGGGCCCGCACAAGCGGUGGAGCAUGUGGUUUAAUUCGAUGCAACGCGAAGAACCUUACCUACUCUUGACAUCCAGAGAACUUAGCAGAGAUGCUUUGGUGCCUUCGGGAACUCUGAGACAGGUGCUGCAUGGCUGUCGUCAGCUCGUGUUGUGAAAUGUUGGGUUAAGUCCCGCAACGAGCGCAACCCUUAUCCUUUGUUGCCAGCGGUCCGGCCGGGAACUCAAAGGAGACUGCCAGUGAUAAACUGGAGGAAGGUGGGGAUGACGUCAAGUCAUCAUGGCCCUUACGAGUAGGGCUACACACGUGCUACAAUGGCGCAUACAAAGAGAAGCGACCUCGCGAGAGCAAGCGGACCUCAUAAAGUGCGUCGUAGUCCGGA
rnacentral:rRNA from 1 species